UCUCAGGCUUCUUCACUCACGACACAAUAUAUUUUAAUAUACGCAUAAUAUUAUUAUUAUGUAAUUACACCGACAACAUCCCGUAGGGUAACUAGUUUCGUUUUUACGUCGUAGGUAAGUGUUUGAUUGCAGGCAUAGUCUGAAGAUCUUCUGGAGCAUAGUACACUAUGAUAAUUUAGUGUAAUGCCGACGAUAACUACAAAAAUAACAUUGCAAAUCGGAGGUUGUGAAAAAAACAAAAUUUUCGCUGUUGUCACGGUUCCUGUGCGAUGAAGAAAACACAUUAUUAUAUAAUACCUUGGUAUAUAAUUAAAACGUUAAAACGAGAAAAACAACAGUCAACAAGUUCACUCACGUCACACUGACUCAAAAAACUAAAGCAGUAAAGCCAAGGAUUUUUUCAAUUAAUAACAAGUGUGUCAUUUCGCUAACAUUAGUUUGAUCCGACUAUCCGAUACACGAUAACGGUGAAGGAAGGACGCACGCACCACAACUUUCACUCGCAUCUGCAAGGCCGGCGACAGCGCGAACAAACCGUUGUCGUGAAUUCGCUCCGCAAAACAUUAAAAUAUGUCUAUAUACCCCCUCACCUACCUCCUAUAUAAGGUCGUUCACCUGUUAAAUCAAAUAUGAUUGCACCGUAUACGUUAGUGCAAGUAAUUAUUAAUCGCAUCGAUUCACGAGAGAAAAUCGUAUUGUCAAAAUAAAAUUGCGAAAGUUCACAAGAAUAUCAACAGACAACACAUACAAGUUAUAACAGAGAAAACUGUAAGCAUUAUGUAUAAAAAUGAAUGUUUUUUUGUUUACUUGUGCUUUAUAAAUUCAAAAACUACUCCUCCAUAUUA